UACGGGGGGUCCGAGCGUUAAUCGGAAUUACUGGGCGUAAAGGGUCUGUAGGUGGUUUGUUAAGUCAGAUGUGAAAGCCCAGGGCUCAACCUUGGAACUGCAUUUGAUACUGACAAACUAGAGUAUGGUAGAGGAAUAGGGAACUUCUGGUGUAGCGGUGAAAUGCGUAGAGAUCAGAAGGAACACCAAUGGCGAAGGCAACAUUCUGGACCAAUACUGACACUGAGGGACGAAAGCGUGGGGAUCAAACAGG
rnacentral:rRNA from 1 species